GAUGAACGCUAGCGGCAGGCUUAAUACAUGCAAGUCGAGGGACAGCACAGGUAGCAAUACUGGGUGGUAACCGGCAAACGGGUGCGGAACACGUACACAACCUUCCUUUAAGUGGGGGAUAGCCCAGAGAAAUUUGGAUUAAUACCCCGUAAUAUAGUUGAAUGGCAUCAUUUGAUUAUUAUAGCUACGGCGCUUAAUGAUGGGUGUGCGGCUGAUGAGAUAGUUGGCGGGAUAACGGCCCACCAAGUCUACGAUCAGUAGCUGAUGUGAGAGCAUGAUCAGCCACACGGGCACUAAGACACGGGCCCGACUCCUACGGGAGGCAGCAGUAAGGAAUAUUGGUCAAUGGACGCAAGUCUGAACCAGCCAUGCCGCGUGAAGGAUUAAGGUCCUCUGGAUUGUAAACUUCUUUUAUUUGGGACGAAAAAGGGCCUUUCUAGGUCAACUGACGGUACCAGAUGAAUAAGCACCGGCUAACUCCGUGCCAGCCGCCGCAGUAACAC
rnacentral:rRNA from 1 species